GAAACACGGACCAAGGAGUUCAACUGGAAUGCGAGUCGUAGAGUAUAACCAUAUACUCAGUACAUGAUAUACGGCGUAAAGAAACUGAUUUGGUGCGAACCAUUGAGUACAUCGUAUGGUGCAGCACUGGCUGAUUCCGAUAGUAUAUACCUCGUAUGUACUGAUGCUGUAGCGAUACAGUGUGGAGUCAAGCCAAAGAGCAAAUUAGUUGAGACCCGAAAGAUGGUGAAUUAUGCUCGGACAUGGUGAAGCCAGGUGAAAACUUGGUGGAAGCUUGCGUUGUGCGGAACUGACGUGCAAAUCGUUACCGCCUGAUCCGAGUAUAGGGGCGAAAGACUCAUCGAACCAUCUAGUAGCUGGUUCCCUCCGAAGUUUCCCUUAGGAUAGCUCGAAUUAAUUACAAUCACAUACGUAAUGCAGGGAUACGACACAUCGAGACGUUAACAUACAUGCGCAGNCGAUACAAGCGCAUAGCCAGAUAUACACACUAGCGCGCAUCGAUCAGAUCUGGCACAAGAUACACGAUACACACUGAUGCGCUAAGCCAGGCCUGGAGUACCUGCGCUUCACUCUCUCAUUACAUACGUAGAGAGUUACGAUACGGCAAGAAGACAAACGAACAUGAAUGCGAUACACAGUGCGGGCUUGGGGUACCCGCGCUGUUCAUACAGUGAUGAUACACAGCACAUCGUAUCACCGGAGUCAAAUCACUGUAUUACGAUAGAUACAAGAGUAACACUAGGGUAAAGCAAUGAGACGCGGUAUCUGUGGGUCUCAAUAUACAUAGACCUCGGCCUUCUCUCAAACUUUAAAUCUGAGGGCAAGCGAUAUACUCAAUUGAUUUGAGUACGUUACUUGGUAUCAAUAAUUCGUAGUGGGCCAUUUCUGGUAAGCAGAACUGGCGAUGAGGGAUUCAACCUGACGUUUUCAAGUUAAGCCGGGCUUAAUCAUAUCUGCUCUAACCUUCCGAUAAACGCGA
rnacentral:rRNA from 1 species